GACGAACGCUGGCGGCGUGCUUAACACAUGCAAGUCGAACGGAAAGGCCCUGCUUUUGUGGGGUGCUCGAGUGGCGAACGGGGGAGUAACACGUGAGUAACCUGCCCUUGACUUUGGGAUAACUUCAGGAAACUGGGGCUAAUACCGGAUAGGAGCUCCUGCUGCAUGGUGGGGGUUGGAAAGUUUCGGCGGUUGGGGAUGGACUCGCGGCUUAUCAGCUUGUUGGUGGGGUAGUGGGUUACCAAGGCUUUGACGGGUAGCCGGCCUGCGAGGGUGACCGGCCACAUUGGGACUGGGAUGCGGCCCAGACUCCUACGGGAGGCAGCAGUGGAGAAUAUUGCACAAUGGGCGGAAGCCUGAUGCAGCAACGCCGCGUGCGGGAUGACGGCCUUCGGGUUGGAAACCGCUUUCGCCUGUGACGAAGCGUGAGUGACGGUAAUGGGUAAAGAAGCACCGGCUAACUACGUG
rnacentral:rRNA from 1 species